AUCAUCUUUCGUGUGAUAUCCUGUGUGUUAGUAUUAUCAUAAUCAUAAAUCGUGGUCACCGUGCAGAGAACUGUAAUCGUAUUACAGUCGCACGGACCCCGUCGCCGGUAUAAACACUACACAAACCAUAUAGGACUUUUUUUUUUUUUAAUCUUACAACAAUAACGAUACGGACUAUAGGUUGAGAACGAGAAAAUAUUCGCUUAAAAACCUAUCACGCCUUAAAAAUUAAUC